UUGUUUUUUUGCUUAAAUCUAAAAAUUGAAGUUAGUUUAGCAGUUGACUGUUGCAGUCAUUUCGAUGUUUUGCAUGCAUUUCACUAGGAAGACUAAGAGCUAAGACUUUUUUAUUGCCGUGGCCUUGACUGUCUUGAUGAUGUUUUGCACCAUGCCCUUGUGUUGACUUUUGCAUACGAUAUUUUUCAGGCACCCGCUUUAUAUAACACAAGAAGGCAGCUGCAAGGACACGAGGAUGUGAAAGAGCCAGUGCAGCGCGACUUCACGUAGUGCAGAGGAGCCGAUGCAAAAAAAUCAAAAUACAUUGGCAUGUUAUUUGGACAAGAAAACUAGUAUGUGGCUAUAUUGGGUGUACCUUUUGACCAAAUGUCAACAAAAUCAAGAUACAGUAUGUUACACGAAGAUGAAAAUUCUCACGUGCUCCAGGCAGUCAUCUUAACAUGGUAUAUUUAUGUAAUGUCUCUGAUUGGAAAGUCAAAUCAAGUAUGCUCUCUGGAGACAAACACAUAGCAGCAAGUGUCAUUGAAAAGUUAAAAAUGCGUUUUAAGAAAGCUGAUUAGUUCUGAGAAGUGACUGCUUUUUGUCUUGCCUCUCAACAGAUAUAUCCAUGUGAUAAAAAAUAGUGGUACAAUGAAAUUGCAUACUUGCUUAGCGACAUGAUACAUACUUGCAAUGAGCACGGUGCCUGUGUUUACUAUAGAAAGCAACAGCCCAUGCUUGGUUAGGUUAGGCCCACUACAACGUGCAGGCAUGGGUGAUUGGCGCUUUUUUUAUUUCUUUGUCGUGAGGUUUAUUGACGUGCGUGUAGGUGCAGUGGCACGCAGUAUGGCUAGUACAAAAAAAAGGGGGGGGGGCAGAUAUAUGUAGCUCACUGUACACGACACAGGGCAAAGGAAAUCCGUGUUCAGCAACUAUGUUAAAUGCCAUGUACGUAAAUUUUACAACGCUACUCGUUCGAAGCGCGCACAGGUGCAUAUUGAAGAAAAGUUUCCAGGGUAGAUAAUUUAGUUCGUAAUUUACACUAAUUUUGCUCUAACCACGAGACAUAAUAAUUUGAAUGUACUGCACGGAAAAACCUAGAGCGAAUUAAAUUGUGUGUCAGCUUCGUGUGUAUACAUAUAGUCUUUCCUAUGCAUUAGGUCUUUUGCGUAAUGCAUUAACAGUUGACAGCCUAUCUUAUGAUGUGUACUCUGUUUACAUUACAGUUGUUUAUUAGUUUACUCGUUUGUUUUGCGACUGAUGAAAUGCCGGCAUAUAUAUAUUUUCAACAUUUGACAUAACCCUGUAUGUUUUGCAGGGACAACCCAGGACGUGCAUUUCUCAGCACCCAGUCAACUGCCAAAAGUGACUCAAACACAGGCCACCAGUAGGUGGACAUCAGUUGCAAUUUCACAUUAUGCAGUUGGCGGCUGCCUUGUACGGAGGAUUUUUUUUUUUUAAUGAGAUGGUGAUGUCGUUCUAAUGUACAUUUUGACCACAAAGGUGCGAUCAUGUCUCACAGAGGCAUAUAUGGUUGCUAUUCUCUGCGAGGGACGUGUUCUCGUGUUCGUGAAGCAUUUGUGUUUGGCAGUAGUGUCGCCCAAUGAGUCGGAUAUAAACACUAACUCGCCACUGCCGGCAAGUAGUUGCGAGAAACGCAUUAUGACGCUGUAAAGUUAUUUCAAUAAUUCGAAGGAAAGUUUUGCAGCAGGAAAAAAGGUUGCUAUUCCAGGUAAACAUGUCUUUUUCUCACAGGUUAUUUAGCCAAACUGUGGAUGCAUGAAAUUCGUGACUUAUGAAUAGAUUUUAAUUUAUUCUUUAGUAAUGCUUCUAAAAGAGACUAGAAAUAGCAUGUGACUACCUCUGCAAUCAGCAGACCAUACAUUUACAGUCAUAAGUGGCAGUUCCAUGCAGUCUCGCACUUUAUAUAACCUUUCCUUUCAGGAACAUUGGAACUGGUGGCUGCGUUUUCAGAAGGAGAAGUGCACUUGACACUGUAUAUGUAUGUGUGAAUUCGGUUUUCUUUGUAUGUGUCGGCUCACUGACAAACAGUGCAAAAAUCUGUUGUACCAUGAGCCUGACGACGCCUUCUGCUGCUAGAAAUGCGGCACUUCGUAUUUUAUAGUACUGCAUGACAUUUAAAUCAAAGCUUCCACAUAAAAUGAUCAAGAAAACUAACCGCUGUUAUAGCUGUUUUCCUCAAAGAACGCUUGUCCUUUAUGGGCUAUGUUAAUCUGAGCUCUCCACCGAUGUUUCAGUAGUAUUAUCCCUUAGUGAGUGAGAGAUUGGGGGCAAUUAAUCGUGUUAGUGUUUAAGUGGUGUCCUAAUUAUGUGUAUUUGCUCCAACAAAGUUGUCUAGAUUACUUUAUUGUGUAGUGUAAAGCUUAUGAAACCAUCAGCAACUACUGAGUUGCUAACACGCAUAUGGAUUUGUCACUAUACAGGUGGAACUCGGCUGUACCACUGCAGUGCUGCGGAAAUUGCCUUCACCAGCGGCUUUGCAACAGCUGUUUCGCAGCAUGUUGGAGACAAUGCCUACGAAAUUAUUAGCCCUGAUCAUGACAGCCCUCAAGGGGCAAACAACAUCUCUGUUGCAGAAGUGAGCCCCAUACCACUUGGAAGUUACCAUGACAGAUGACACGGCAGCAAUAGAUACAGAGACUGCCAUGUCUACGGCAGCUGCAACAGUGUACAAGGCAAGCAGCAGCGCGGCAGCAUCAGCAACAGUGUCAGAAGGAACCACACCAGGCCUGGUAGAGCAACAUGUGUGCUAUCACUGACUUUUUUUGUAGUAGAUAAAACUCAUUUGCUCAACAUACAAAAGCUUUUCACCACGACUGUGAGCCAGUGUUAUUGUGCAGCAAGUGCAAGACUAAGUUAGGUGUUAUAACACAGUACAAGCAUCACUUUAAUAUAUGCAAAUGCAAACAUAUUACAGUUGUUGCCUCCCCAGCCAGCCCACAUAGUGACAACAAUGUGGAACACAUGGUGGGACACACCUCUCCCCCAUUACAAGAUAGUAGAGACUGUCAGUGUUGUUGCUAGAUUGACUGGUCUUUGUGAGCAACUAGAAGGACAACACAGGUGUCAUAAGAUUGUUGUUGAUGUUGUUGUUGAAGAGGUAAAAAAGAAGUUUGAUGCAGCUGAAGUGCCAACUGAUAUUGAGCAAAUCAAAAGCAACCACCUGAGAAAGCAACACUAUCGAAAUUUGGGUAUCUAUGUGCCGCCAACUCUGGUAAGAAUGGCAUAGGACAGAAGUGUGAUGAAAAUCACACAGACACUGCUGUUGCAUCACUGGCCACAGUGAGCAGCGACUUGUAGGGCAAGAGAGUCAACUGAAACUAACAUUAUGAUAUAGUGUCAUGCUCCCAUGUGACCACUUUUCAAGUUAUCUUGCAAGAUACAGCUCAACCUCCAGAAACGAGACUGCAACUUGUCUGUAAAAAAGCUUUCACAAAAAAUUAUUCAUAACACUAUUAACAUAGCAGUAUCUUUUUUUUGUGUCGGUUCGAGGUUCCCGGCUGUCCAUUAAUGCAAAAAUUGAGGAAAAAAAGAACAUGUGUCGUACUUACACCUUUUUAACAAGUACGAGGGGGACAGAACUUUUCUAGUCAUGCAUCUUCAUCAUACUAUCAAGCUUUUAAAUGCCUUUUAUAAUUAUUAUCACCAGUUAUAUCUGAGUGCAUUGUAUGCAUGUAGCAGGUGUAAAAUCAGGUCAGUUGGAUCAGAUGCCUUAUCUGCAAGCGAGCCCUAUAUUCAAGAAAUUUGAAUUAAAAUAGUUACGUUAGAGACGCAGUCUUUCAGCACUUUAUUGCCUGUGGUUUAAGCAUUGCUCAAUACUUUUGUGGGUGGCAAUUUCAACCGGCACAGCACUGCGCUUUGCCACAGUCACAUUUGUCUUCAAAGCGGUGUUUACCAUUUGUGUUGGUCUGUUUGUGUAUGCAUAGAGCAAGUUUUUAAUUUAUAUUUUCUGCAUUCUUGUGCUUGCACUAAGCUUGUAUAAGGCAGUUACAAAAUGUGCGUCACUAUAACGAACUGUUCUGUUGAGCUUACACUUGCAAAUAAUCGUGUUCAGAUGGCCGCACUUCUAUGCGGGUGCACUGCUAGCUUUGUGUAUGUUCUCAUGUUUGUAUAAAGCUUAUAUAAGCUAGUUAGAAAAUAUAUGUCACUAAGCAUUGUGAUAUUCUUUAAAGAACUGCUUGGUUGGUUUUACACUUGUGAAUUAGUAUUGAGGCAGUGGUAUUCCCAUGUAUGCCCACUGCUAGCUUUCUGUGUCCUCACGUGUUUGUAUUAAGUUUCUACAAGGGAGUUACAGCAUGUACGUCACUAAGCACUGUGAUAUUUUUUAAAGAACUGCUUUGUUGGUUUUACACCUGUGAGUAAUAGUACUCGGGUGGCACUAGUCAUGUGUAGGUACACAGGGACCAUUUGUAUACAUUAUGCUCAUGUAAAGCAGUUACAAAGUGUAUGUCACUAAUUACUGUGAUAUUUGUUGAAUUGCUGUAAUGGUUUUACACAUGUGAAUAAUAGUGGUCAGGACACAGUACUUGCGGUGUAUAGUUGAAUUUAUACACUGCCAAGACAUGGGCUGUAUACAUACCAAAAGAAAUGUAUGUCAUUAUAUUGUUGUGAUUAUAACUGUUUGGAUUUUAUUAAACUGUAAUAAAAUUGUUUCUUGUAUCUA